rnacentral:rRNA from 1 species
AGUGAACGCUGGCGGUAGGCCUAACACAUGCAAGUCGAACGGCAGCACAGUAAGAGCUUGCCCUUACGGGUGGCGAGUGGCGGACGGGUGAGGAAUACAUCGGAAUCUACUUUUUCGGGGGGGAUAACGUAGGGAAACUUACGCUAAUACCGCAUACGACCUACGGGUGAAAGCAGGGGAUCUUCGGACCUUGCGCGAUUGAAUGAGCCGAUGUCGGAUUAGCUAGUUGGCGGGGUAAAGGCACACCAAGGCGACGAUCCGUAGCUGGUCUGAGAGGAUGAUCAGACACACUGGAAGUGAGACACGGUCCAGACUCCUACGGGAGGCAGCAGUGGGGAAUAUUGGACAAUGGGCGCAAGCCUGAUCCAGGCAUACCGCGUGGGUGAAGAAGGCGUUCGGGUGGGAAAGCCCUGUUGUUGGGAAAGAAAAGCAGCAGGUUAACACCCCGCUGUUCUGACGGUACCCAAAGAAUAAGCACCGGCUAACUUCGUG